AAUAACCUACGGGACGCAGCAGUGGGGAAUAUUGGGCAAUGGGCGCAAGCCUGACCCAGCAACGCCGCGUGAAGGAAGAAGGCUUUCGGGUUGUAAACUUCCUUUCUCAGGGACGAAGCAAGUGACGGUACCUGAGGAAUAAGCCACGGCUAACUACGUGCCAGCAGCCGCGGUAAUACGUAGGUGGCAAGCGUUAUCCGGAUUUACUGGGUGUAAAGGGCGUGUAGGCGGGAAAGCAAGUCAGAUGUGAAAACCAUGGGCUCAACCUGGGGCCUGCAUUUUAAACUGUUUUUUUU
rnacentral:rRNA from 1 species